rnacentral:rRNA from 1 species
UACGAAGGGGGCUAGCGUUGCUCGGAAUCACUGGGCGUAAAGGGUGCGUAGGCGGGUCUUUAAGUCAGGGGUGAAAUCCUGGAGCUCAACUCCAGAACUGCCUUCGAUACUGGAAGACUUGAGUCCGGGAGAGGUGAGUGGAACUGCGAGUGUAGAGGUGAAAUUCGUAGAUAUUCGCAAGAACACCAGUGGCGAAGGCGGCUCACUGGCCCGGUACUGACGCUGAGGUGCGAAAGCGUGGGGAGCAAACAGG